GACGAACGCUGGCGGCGUGCUUAACACAUGCAAGUCGAACGGAGUGGCGAACGGGUGAGUAUUACGUUAGUAACCUGCCCUCAACUGUGGCAUAAGCCUGGGAAACUGGGUCUAAUACUGCAUAGUCUGGGAGGGGCUCUGGGCUUUUCAGCGUGUUGGGGGGGUGAUGGCCUGCCAAGGAGGUGCCGGGUAGCCGGCCUGAGAGGGGGGUCGGCAAUGUGAGGAUGGAGAGACGGCCCAGACGCCUACGGGAGGGAGAAGUUGGGGAUAGUGCACAAGGGGGGCAAGGCGAAUGCAGCGACGCCGAGUGAGGGAUGAAGGCUUUCGGGUUGUAAAUCUCUGUCGGAAAAGGACGGGUAUGUGAAGAAGAAGCGCCGGCUAACUACGUGCCAGCAGCCGCGGUAAUAC
rnacentral:rRNA from 1 species